rnacentral:siRNA from 1 species
ACGAACCAUAUUCUCUAUUCUCA